GUAUUCAUACUCAUCAAAGUCAGAAACAGCUUUUGUUUUAUCACAGAAACACACUUCUGGCUCCUAGUCAUGUUUUCAAGUAGUUGCUUGGAUUAAUUUAACAAAAACCACAUUUCUGCAAUGAGUGAAAUUCUGCAACUACAUGGACGGGACUACUGGAGUGUGUAACAGAAGGCUGUGAAAACGGUACGUGAGAUCAACGACCACCUCAGAGGAAAUGUGACUUCCACAAGGAGGAAGGGGAAGUUGACUGUGACAGAGAGGAGGGUUUCACGGUUCAGAGAACAUGUCAUUUCUGAAGGUUUCCCAGGUUGGAGCGCAGAAUCAGCGAGGAGCGCACGACGCACAGCGCAGCUCUCACAUCUGGAAUAUGCACUAUUUUAGCUAAACUUUGCGGCGUUAACUUCACUUUUUUUGUCGCCAUAGUCCGACAGUGACAGCAUGGAAUACUGGAGACAAUGUGCGAUGUGGCUGAUCAGCUGCAAAGUGUUGCCCGUGAGCCACCGAGUUACUGCGGACACGGCGCAGGUGUUCGAUUUGGCGCAAACCCUGCGGGAUGGGGUCCUGCUGUGCCAGCUGCUGAACAACCUGAGACCUCACGCCAUCAACCUGAAGGAGAUUAAUCUGCGGCCCCAGAUGUCACAGUUCCUGUGCUUGAAGAACAUCCGCACAUUCCUGAUGUGUUGCUGCGAAGUGUUUGGGUUAAAGAAAGGUGACUUGUUUGACGCUUUCGAUCUAUUUGACGUCCGAGACUUUGUCAAGGUCAUGGACACACUCUCCAAGCUGUCGUACACAAGCAUUGCACAGCAAGCAGGAUUUAAACCAUUCCCGACAGAAGAAAGUCUGAAAGACGAGGAUAUUUACAACAAUCUGGCAGACUUGAUGGAUGAGAAUGUCCUUGAGGAUGAGGACGAUUUGUAUGCAGCUGUCUAUGGGCUGGAACAAACAGGUGGAAAGAUCUAUGAAGAUCUCAUGAGGGCCGAGCAGCAGCCCCCACUGAAGCAGGUAGAACUUGACGUACGCAGCUGCUGCCUGACAGAAAUUAAACAGACGGAGGACAAAUACACAGAGACACUGGAGUCCAUUGAGAAGUAUUUCUUAAUCCCUCUAAAGAGGGUCCUCACUGCUCCAGAAGUUGAACAAAUCUUUAUAAACAUUCCUGACCUUGUCAGGGUGCACAGGAGCCUAAUGGUUGAUAUUCAGGAGUCAAUCGAGAACAGAAACGCCUCCAAUCUCCACCAGAUUUUCAUCAACUACAAAGAGAGGUUACUCAUUUAUGGGGUUUACUGCAGCCGUGUUGAGAUCGCCAUCGCAGUUCUAGACCACAUUUGCAAAGAGAAAGAGGAUGUCCGUUUGAAGUUGGAGGAAUGCUCCAAAAGGGCCAACAAUGGAAAGUUUACCCUGAGGGACCUGCUGGUUGUUCCGAUGCAGAGAAUCUUAAAGUACCAUCUGCUCCUUCAGGAGCUGGUCAAACACACUCACCAAGCUGCAGACAAGUCUAACUUGAAUAUUGCUCUUAGCGCCAUGAAAGACCUGGCUCAGUACAUCAAUGAGGUGAAGAGAGAUAAUGAGACUCUGAGGGAGAUCGACCAGUAUCAGAGAUCUAUCGAAAACUUGAAUCAGCCUCUGAUCACUCUGGGUCGUCCGAAGGGAGAUGGAGAAGUGCGCAUGAUCUCCAGUGUGGACAAGAGGAAACAGGACAGACACAUCUUCUUGUUCGAUGUCGCCCUCAUUGUUUGCAAGAGACGGGGGGACAACUACGAGAUGAAGGACAUGCUCGACCUCAACUACUUCAAGGUCACAAACAACCCCACCUCUGAAAGAGAGGCGAAAAAGUGGUGCUACGGCUUCUAUGUGACUCACCAUCAGGGCUACAUGGGCUUUGAGCUCUUCUUUAAGACCAGAGAGCUGAAGAAGAAGUGGCUGGAUCAGUUUGAAAUGGCCAUAUCAAACAUUCGUCCAGACAAAGCCAACCACAACUCACACCAGUUCAAGAUGCACACGUUUGAGAAGAUCACGUCCUGCAGCUUCUGUCAUUACCUGCUGAGGGGCAUCUUCAACCAGGGUUAUCUGUGUCUGAAGUGUGGUCUGGGGGCUCACAAGGAGUGUCUGAGUCGACUGGGAGUGUGUGGAAGGACAGAUUCUGCCAAGUUGAAACCCAAGGAAAACCCAACUUCUCCAAACCCAGGUUUACCCAGGAUGGUAGUGACGAGAGACUACAGCGGUAUGCCCUACCCCCAGUAUGGCCCCCCGCUCAGCAUUCAUGUGGGGGAUGUGAUUGAAGUGAUGUUCGCAGACCUGCACAGCUCCUGGUGGCAGGGAAAGAUUCUGGGGACAAACAAGACUGGAUUCUUUCCUUCUGACACAGUCAAGCCCUGCCCAUGUGUUCCAAAACCUGUGGACUACUCUGCCCAACACUGCUGUGGAGGUGCAGAGACUGAUCAUGGCUGCUUCAGGUUUGCAGGGCCAAUGGAGCGAUACCAAGCCGAGGUGGAGCUCCUGGACAGGGAAAACCGGACCUUUCUGGUCCGACACAGGAGUAAGGAGUGCACGGAGUACGCCAUUAGUAUCAAGUUCAAUGAUAAAAUCAAACACAUUAAGAUUCUGAGCAAAGAUGGCUGCUUUUACAUCGCCGAGAGCCGCCUCUUCAGGACUGUGCUGGACCUCGUGGACUAUUACAGACAGCAUUCUCUAAAGGAGGGCUUCAGCAGUCUUGAUACCACGUUACAGAAACCCUACAGGGAAAUGACCAAUGGACCUUCGCCCACGGACGUUACCAAUGCCAGCGGCGCUUCAUCCCCCUCCCACUGCUCGCUCCACGGCUCCUCUGUAGUUUCUCCUGUUGGCUGCAGCUUUGUUCCUCCUUCCUCCUCGCCUUUUUGGUCAGUGUUUUCCCCCAGAGUGGUAGGCAUCGCGGUGGCACUCUACGACUUCUGCUCCAGAGACACACGGCAGCUCUCGCUGCUGCAGGGAGACAUUAUCAAGAUCUACUCCAAGAUGUCCGACGGGUGGUGGAAGGGAGAAGUUGGUGGCAGGGGUUUUUGCUGCGUCGGUGUCUGAUGGAUGCUGGUCUGACAAGUUUACAGUGGAAUAUAUCAACAGUACAAGGACGGCCACAGAUGAGAAGUGACUUGCUCUCUACGGGGGCCGCCCCCUACUUUGAGAACCCUUGGAACAACAAUCAGCAGUAACUGGACCACUUUGGUGUUUUUAAUAUCCAAGCUGCAGCUCCUUCAUAGAAUCUUCACUCAAUAACAAACUCUUCCUGGAAAUCUCACAUAUUGUCUCAGUUCACGGAGGAAUUCAAACCGCUGACCUUCGAACCAGUCUGGCACCACUGAGGAUAGGCACAAUAACUGUGGCAAUGUAGUAACAAUGAGAUGGUAAAUAUAACAUCAAUAUAAAUACGUUUCUGCUUCUCCCUGCCCUUUGCAUUUAUUUAGAAUAUUUUUUUUAUAUAUUUUUUUGAACAUAGUGAAAUCAAUACCGUCCUCCGAUGAUGACAGAUGAACACAAUCUGUAAACUGCAGGUCAAAUCUGUCGUGACGUUUUACCUUGUUAUGAUGAAGUUUUAUUUUUUUUUCCAAAGUUUGAAUGACACCACCGGCCGCGUCGCUUCAGUACGUCAUCGGUUUUAUGAGCCGUCCGUGGACUUCCCUGGAAGCCUUUUUUUUUUUUUUUCUAUCAGUGGAGCAUCAAACAGCAUGAGGCUGUGUCAGAGUGAUAUCUCCCUACUCGGCAGAGCCUAAAUGAUUUAUGUAUUUGUCAUUUCUCAUUUGUUGAAACAAGGUGUCAAUGUUUUUGUUCCAUUGCACCAGUCAAGCCUACAGAGACACAGAGAUAAGGACGGGGACACUGUCCUUGAAGAAAACACCAAAGUCAAAGAGACAGUUUGUCCAGCCUCACAUCCUUUUUCUCUUUGCUGUGAAGGUGCUGUGGUACAGUGGAAGGCAUCACUUUGGUGAUGAGACCCUGAUUCUUUAUAUAUCAAUUUGGGAUUUUAUUAAUUGAUAGAAAUCUUGUAAAUUAACCCUGGCUAACAGUGUUUCUUACUGCAUUCAUUUAUUGUUUGUUUUUUCCAGACGUUUAUUUCCUUUUUUGUAAAAC